rnacentral:rRNA from 1 species
GACGAACGCUGGCGGCGUGCUUAACACAUGCAAGUCGAACGGUGAAGCGCCUUCCUUUUUGGUGGGUGUGGAUGAGUGGCGAACGGGUGAGUAACACGUGAGUAACCUGCCCCCUUCUUCUGGAUAACCGCAUGAAAGUGUGGCUAAUACGGGAUAUUCUGGGUCUGUCGCAUGAUGGGUCUGGGAAAGAUAUUGUUUCGGUGGGGGAUGGGCUCGCGGCCUAUCAGCUUGUUGGUGGGGUGAUGGCCUACCAAGGCGGUGACGGGUAGCUGGCCUGAGAGGGUGGACGGUCACACUGGGACUGAGACACGGCCCAGACUCCUACGGGAGGCAGCAGUGGGGAAUAUUGCACAAUGGGCGCAAGCCUGAUGCAGCGACGCCGCGUGAGGGAUGGAGGCCUUCGGGUUGUGAACCUCUUUCGCCAGUGAAGCAGGCCUGCCUCGUUUGUGGGUGGGUUGACGGUAGCUGGAUAAGAAGCGCCGGCUAACUACGUG